CUUUUUUUUAAAAUUUGAAGUAUGGUUGAUUUACAAUAUUGUGUUAGUUUCAGGACUAUACAGCUUAGUGAUUCAGUUAUUUAUAAUUAUAUUCCAUUACAGAUUAGCACAGGAUAUCAAAAUGUAAUUUCCUAUGCUAUACAAUAAACCCUUGAUGCUUUCUCUGUAUCUCUUUUUUGUAUUUUUAGGUAGCAUAUAUUUCUUGGUUCAUCAAGGAUAAAAUUUAUUGGUUCACUCUAUUAAAUGAGCCAAACUGGACAUUUUAUAUAAGAAUAACAUGAAGCCUAGAGAGAUUAGGUGUGUAUCCUGAGGACCAGGCAGGAUAAAAAGACAAAUCCAUCACCAG
ensembl:lncRNA